rnacentral:lncRNA from 1 species
GGAAUCUAAAAUGAAAAAUUCAAAAUUUUUCUAAAUAGGAUUUUGACUGUUGAGCUCCUCGUUAAAGAUCUAAGUAAUAGGUCAAUAAAAAUCUCAACAGUCACAAACAGUUAUAAAUGAUCAUAUUGGUUGGCUAUAAAAAAAGCAAUUUGAGAUCUAAUUCAAUAAGUUAUCCAAAAACCUUCUCUUUUUUUUUUCUAAGCUUUUUUUUCUACUAUAAUAUAUUUUUUUUCUUUUUCUAGAUGGAUACUAAAACAGUCUUCAUCAAGCUCUUCUACGGUCAUUCUCACAGGUGGC